rnacentral:rRNA from 1 species
UACGUAGGGGGCAAGCGUUGUCCGGAUUUAUUGGGCGUAAAGAGCGUGUAGGCGGCCAAGCAGGUCAGCUGUGAAAACUCGAGGCUCAACCUCGAGAUGUCGGUUGAAACCGCUUGGCUAGAGUCCGGAAGAGGCGAGUGGAAUUCCCGGUGUAGCGGUGAAAAUGCGCAGAUAUCGGGAGGAACACCAAUGGCGAAGGCAGCUCGCUGGGGACGGUUACUGACGCUGAGACGCGAAAAGCGUGGGGGAGCAAACAGG